CUAUAGGAUCCUAUAGGAAUUCCUAUAGGAAUUCCUAUAGGAAUUCCUAUAGGAAUUCCUAUAGGAUCCUAUA